GUGCUUGUUUCGGCAGCAUACAUACCAAAAUUGAAACAAUACAGAGAUUAGUAUGGCCCCUGGACAAGCAAAUUUGUGAAGCAAUUCAUAUUUUU
ensembl:snRNA U6 U6 spliceosomal RNA